GAAUCAAAGCACAGGCAGCCUUGAAGCUGGUGGCUACAGUCAGUGACAGGGGUGCUCUGAGAGGGGAAGAAGGUAGCAGCUAAGCUAAGACCUGAGGAGAGGAUGAGCAGGGACAGGCCAAGGCUGACAGGGAAAAGUGUUCCAGGCAUGGGGAAAAGCAUGUAGAGAAAUCUGAGUCCUGUCACACCCUCUGCACUCGCUGAGCUUCUUGACCUGCUGGACAGCAGAACAAUUUCUUCAUCAGCAGCUAAACAGGUGUUUGAGGAACUGUGGAAGAGGGAAGGCAAGACUCCAGGGCAGAUUGUUUCAGAAAAGCAGCUUGAACUGAUGCAGGACCAGGGGGCACUGGAGCAGCUCUGCCACUCUGUGAUGGAGGCCCAUCCUCAAGUGGUAAUGGAUGUGAAGAACAGAAACCCCAGAGCUAUAAAUAAACUGAUUGGGUUGGUCCGGAAAGCGACUCAAAGCCGAGCAGAUCCAGUCAUGAUAAAGGAGAUCCUGGAGAAGAAGCUGUCAUUGUGAGAUGUUUGGGAUCCCCUUGCCCAAGGGACAACAGUGCAGCCUGACUGGGAACAGGAUCCCGUGAAAGCUGAUGCCCAUGUGCCCUGAGAGCUGCCUCUCAAUCCCUGUCCCGAGCCACAGCUAUGGCGUUAAUGUCACCAGUGUUCUCACCCUCUAGGCCCUGUGCCUGGAGGUGCCUCCACAGCCGACCAGCAGCCACCCCGCCUGCUUCAUGCACAUCAGG
rnacentral:sRNA from 1 species